UUGGAGUCCUGGGUGCUACUAUGUUGACAUUAGUCUAAUCUGAUGUCUUUGCUUCAGUCCGUCCUGCAACAGAAGUUGCUCAGCCAUGGAGUUGGAGUCCAAAUACUGAAAGAAAAAGGAGUCCUGUGUUUCCAGCUGAACCAAUCCCACAAGGUGUUUGUGUACUUAGCUAGAGGGCUAGCCCCAGUUGAAGGCUGUACUCCCCCUUUCUUGAAAAAUUCAAGAAUUAAAUUUCUGACUUUGUAGCAUUUCUACCUACAGAAAGAAUAAAAGAAAUUAAAACUUGUAUUUUGUCA
rnacentral:lncRNA from 1 species